rnacentral:rRNA from 1 species
AGCAGCCGCGGUAAUUCCAGCUCCAGUAGCGUAUAUUAAAGUUGUUGCAGUUAAAAGCUCGUAGUUGAAUUUCGGGGUUAGUAGGUUGGUCAUGCCUCUGGUAUGUACUGGUCUCACUGAUUCCUCCUUCCUGAUGAGCCGUAAUGCCAUUAAUUUGGCGUUGCGGGGAAUUUGGACUGUUACUUUGAAAAAAUUAGAGUGUUUAAAGCAAGCUACGCUUGAAUACAUUAGCAUGGAAUAAUGAAAUAGGACGUUCGAUCCUAUUUUGUUGGUUUCUAGGAUUGACGUAAUGAUUAAUAGGGAUAGUUGGGGGGCAUUAGUAUUCAAUUGUCAGAGGUGAAAUUCUUGGAUUUAUUGAAGACUAACUACUGCGGAAGCAUUUGCCAAGGAUGUUUUCAUUAAUCAAGGACGAAAGUUAGGGGAUCGAAGACGAUCAGAUACCGUCGUAGUCUUAACCAUAAACUAUGCCGACUAGGGAUCGGAUGAUGUUAAUUUUUUCAAUGACUCAUUCGGCGCCUUA